AAGGUAAUCCAGCUCAGAAGACCAUGGUAAGAAAAAUGUGCCGCAUCUGAUAGAUACAAUAUGUCACCUGAGCAAAAUGCAAGAACUGCAACUCUUGAGGAAGAGUUGCGGUAAAAAAACAACAGUUCAGAACUGAAGUAAGGAGAGAGUGUUCCAACACUAGAAUGCACUCAAUUUUAUAUAUAGAUAUAUAAAUAUAUAUAACACACACACAUAUAUACACACACAUGCACAUGCACAUGCACAUGCACACACACACAAAUUUGACCAAUGCAUAGCCAAUAACCAAAACUAGCCUAGGGUGUGUAAGAUCCCCUUCAUCCCUUGCAGAAAAUGGGAUUUCCUGCAGGGGGGAGGGGAUCCUUGGAUGAAACAUCAUCAGGGUUCAAGGACAUGCUCUACUCAGGCUAAAGCUCUUGGAGGGAGUGCCAGGUGAGGCCAGCAAGGCAUGUAUGGCAUGAAGAGAUCCCCCGAGUUCAGAAAGGGAUACCUGGAGGCAUGUGGUUGAGCUCUGAGACUAUGGUUUCUCCUACUUCUUCUGAACCAGUUAUUUAUUUAUAGCUGUAUUACCACUUUCUUCCAAGGAGCUCAAGGUAGCAUACCUGCUUCUCAUUCUUCCCCCACUUUAUCCUCUCAACAGCCCUAUGAGGUAGGUUUUUGGCUGAGAAACUUAAGGUCACCCAGUGAUUCUCAUGGUUAAGUAGGGAUUUGAACCCUGGUCUCCCAGGUCCUAGUCCAAUGUUCUAACCACUACACCACACUGGCUCUCAUACUGCUUUAAAUGCAGAUAUUUCUUUUUGAAAAUUAAAAUGAUAAAAGGUAGCCCAUCGGCUUCUCCUCCUCAAGGAACUUAAUUUCCCCUAUUUAAAACGCAGAGCUGGAUGAAUAUGUCAGCAUUGAGGGGUAGGAAGGAAGCACCUGAGCUGCUUCUCUGGAGAGAAUCCAGUCCCUCCAAGCUGAGGAAGUUAGCCAUACCUACUCAGAAUUUUUUAAAAAGAAGAAGAAGAAAGAAAAUGAUACAGAAAUGGCAUUCAUUUUCUCUCAGCAUUACAAUCCCAAUGACUCUGUGCUAACAAAUUGCAGAUGACGUGAUCUGAGGCCCAAUUCCACACCUAACAAUAACCCCUGCAACUGUCAUAAAAUCAAUCUCUUAGUGUUAAUAACAAACACGGCUCUCCCCAGUAUUAAAACCACAAGUAAUCUUCAGAAAUAAGGGCAAAUAAUACAAAACACUGGAAGUACGGGGGGAGGGGGGAGCAUUGCUUAUAUAUCUCACGGAACUGGGAUUUGUUGGCUGCACAUAUUGCUCAUUGUCUUUAGAAAACACCAUGAGUUUUGGAAGAGUAUUAGGAAACACUGUAAAUAAGAUCUUGACACCCAAACCAAGACAGACGUCAUAUGUGUGUUUUAUAACCUGGGGGAAAAAUUAAGGUGGGCGAUUGGUGGGGGUGGGCUAGGAAACUUAUAAUCCUCAGAAUUUCUAUAGUGGUUACGCCAUCCCCAUUUUGCCUGACCUCAGUGUUAAUGCUUGAACUCACAGCCAGAUGACAAAAGGGUCAGUAUGAAAUUUUUAUUAGGGUAUUAAACUAAAUACGGACUCCCGUUUGCGGGAAGAACCAUAAACCCCAUUCAUGGCACAUUAUGGGAUUCCACCAGAGACCUUCAGUUUAAAUCUAUUAGGGGGAAGAAUAUUUAUUCCACCUAUGUUCUGCCUUUGGGGUAGGGGCAGAUUGGUGAUAAGGAUAGUGUGUGUGUGUGUGUGUGUGUGUGUGUGUGUGUUUAUCUGUGAUCACUUUCUUGCGACUGCUUUAUUUCCAAGUUAAAAAGCCCCAAAUAAUGUAACAUUUCCUCUUAGGGGAGUCAAUCCAUCCCCUUGGUCAUUUUGGUUGCCUUUACCGAAACUUUUCCAUGUUCAAAGAUAUGCUUUUUGAGAAGAGGUGACCAGAACUCUAUACCAUAACCCUCAUGUGGUCAUACCAUAGAUUUCUGAAAAAGAGAUUGGCAGUUUUAUUUUGAUCCUUUCCCUAAUAAUCCCUAACAUGGAAUUAGCUUUCCCCCCAUAGCUGUGCCAUUCCAGUGAACACAGGUCACCCAGCAGUCCAUUUGUUGUGGGUCCCAUGUUGGCUAGGAUUGGAGAACUGGAGGGCCAGGUCCUUAGCUUCCCCAUAUAGGCCAACUUUGACACGUGGGCAUGGCCACAACCAGUCAGCCAUCUGGCAUCAUGAUGGCAUCAGGUGACUGACAGGUGGGUGGUCACUCUCACCUGUCAAAGUUGAACCAUGCCAGGGGAGGGGUCUGCUCUAUGCUUUGCAAGUGAUGUCAGCUGAUGGACAGAUGACCAUGGUUUGGAUGACAUGUGCUCACAGGCCAAAUUGGCCCCUCUGGUGGACCAAGAUUAGCCUGAAGGUUCUCCAUCCAUGGUGUAGGCUGUGAUGUUUGCAUGACUCAUAGAAGGGACAUGGCUCAGUGGUAAAGCAUCUGCUUUGCACAGGUUCAAUCCCAGAUUCAAUCCCCGACUUUUUCAGGUAGGGCUUGGGGGAAACCUGUCUGAAAUCCUGGGAAGCCACUGCUAGUCAGUGUGUAAACAAACCCAAACUUAGGUCUGACUCAAUAUAAGGAUUCUUCCCAUGUUCCUAUGGAUUCUACUUGUGAGGUUAGGAAAUGUUUCAGAGAGACAUCCCUGUGAAAAGGGGCUGUUUCCAUGUUUUCAUGUGGAUGCCAAUCGGCAUCCUGGGAAACUCCUUUCUUUAUAUUCUAUUCAGCUCACGGGAUCAGUUGUUGGACGGAUGUCACAUCCCAAUGCAUAAUUUUAAUGUGUUUACAUCCACGGUGGAGCUGACUUGAAUUGCUAAGUAUCUGGACCUCUUGCCUAGGAAUUGCUCGCAUUUUUGUUCCGCAUGUGUCAGUCAGGAACAUUGCUGCUGCAAGAACCAUUUACUUACGACAGGGGAAUUCUACCCAUUUGUCUAAGGCCUGGGACCUGAAGCACAGGCCUGGCAUGCUCUGAAGGGGUUCCAUAAUUGCUCCGGCUGUGUGGAUCCCCCAAACCCAGACUUCUUUUCUUCCAAUUUAUAGUCCGUUUAUUGUUCUUCCUUGCAGAGGGUGUGCUUACACUGAAUGGAAGUCCUUGUACGAGAUGAAUGGGACCAUUUUUUUCCAUACACUGGAUGAUCCUCAUGUUGAAAGGGGGCCUCCCCUGCCCUCCCCCGCCCCCAGUAUUCAAUACUAUGUCGGCUUUUCUUUUUGGCUGGUACAUUCUGAUCCCUUAUCCCGAGCUUUCUCAACUCCCCCACUCUUGUUGGCCAAAGUUUCAAUCAGCUUCCUGCAUCUAAAGAGCAGCCACUUACACCGACUCUUGAAUCAGCAAUGUUUCCAUCCUAGAUCGCUUCCGCCAUCCUGCCGCUCCCCCCGAAUCUGGGAUGCAGGCUCAGCCGCCCAUCCCACGUUAAGCAAAUUACCAGAGUUUGGUGGUUUUUAGUAGAGUUCUGGAGGUUUCUUACAGCCUUAUUAUAGUGAAUUAACAACCCACAGACAGUGAUUAAAACCCACUUAUAACAAGCUUGCAAGUUAUUCUGUGCAAAAGGCAAUAAAAUCACAGUCAUUUGCUUUCCGAUGCAAAAAAAAGAGGGGGCGCCAAGGAAAUACAGUCACAUUAAAACUCUUGUUUUCCCUACA